UUCUUGCCUGGAGAAUCCCAUGGACAGAGGAGCCUGGUGGGCUACAGUCCAUGGAGUCUCAAAGAGUUGGACACGACUGAGUGACUAACACUUUAACUUUCAGUCUAUAUUUAUUAAAUAUUACAUCUUUUCUGUGUAUGUUUCCAGGAGACUAGCGUAUACUAUCAUUGAAAGCCCGUAUUCACAUGUUCAACAUGGGAUUUCAGUUAUUUAUAGCAUCUAAUCUUAUCUUAGAACUUAAAAUAAAGCCCUGGGUGUAUUUUUAAUGUGCUGAAACUUUAUUAGAAUGAGUUAAUACCUUUCUACAUUUGUCAGAUUUUUAUAUCAAACCUAGUCCAGAUAUUCCUGAGCACUUUGAACAAGAAUAAAUAAACAUUUUCAAAAGCAUCAAGUGUCCUAGACACGCUUCUCCUUGCAGCAUCGAUGCUUCCUGUUCUUGGGGAAGUUUCCUCGGGCGGUCUCACUGCCCUGGGAGAUAAGGCUAGGAUUGAACUCUUCUGCCUGGGGUCUGACGCUAGCAGUUCCAGGAAUUCACUGUCAUUCCCGUUUCCACCCUGCAUUGCCCCACUGAUCUCUAUAUUCUGUUGGCUUUGCGUCAACAGGGCUUCCUGGAAUAAACCAGCAGGGAGCUGGCUCACCCGUGGGAGAGGAGCCUGCAGGCUCAGCCAUGAUCACAUUACUGCCCGGAGAAGCUGGGGGAAGCCCCUCACCUUCUGCUUUUUGCUGUUGUUGCUCUUCGGUCGUUCAGUUGUGUCUGACUCUUUGCGACCUCAUGGACUGCAGCACACCAGGCUUCCCUGCCCUUCACUAUCUCCCGGAGUUUGCUCAAACUCAUGUCCAUUGAGUCAGUGAUGCCAUGCAACCAUCUCAUCCUCUGUCACCCCCUUCUCCUCCUGCUUUUGCUUUUCUGAAAAUAAGAAUGCUAUACUCCCCCGCUCCUGAUUUUUUCAAGUGUCCUUAUAUAUUGCACAGAAACUUAAAGCAUAAAAGGAACAUGUUCCAUUGGAUAUUUCAAGAAGGUAUUGACAAUAAUACCAUUGAUUUCAGACCCUCAGGGUCUGAUGGACCACCCUGGAGGUGGAUCUCUGUAAGGCCCUUUCAUGGGGAUUCGGUCAGACACCAAGAGAAAAACCUUCCCCAAACCUUUCAAUAAACUUUUUUGUUAAAAAAAAAGAAAGAAAGAAAGUUUCUGUCUCUGAAAACCACAUUGACUCAUUUCUUUUCUUUGUAUGAUUUGUGAGCUAUUUCAGCAUCUCCUAAGUCUUUGAAAAAUCAGGAAUGUAGAAGUGAGAAAUAUCAUUCAUACAGUUUCACUUUUCUGGAGUUUGUCUCAUUUUAUUCUUUAAUCAAAAUCAUCAAUGUUUUGCUACUGUUUUAAAUUUAGAGACACUUUAAUGUUAUUAAAUAGUAUCUAUGUGUAUAUUCCAAUUAUUUUUAUGUGUUAUUUCUGUAAGACAAGUAACCUUUUUUGCCUAUAAACACCUUUUCUAUUGCCAAGAGAGGAGAGAACCAGAAAAGACAGAAAAUUCCCCGUUAACUAUAGAUAUUGCUACUCCUAUAUUUGUCUACAGUGCUUUAAAUCUCAUUUUGUGGUCACUAUGGUGAAGCCUAAAUUAUUUUAAAAGCUGCAUAUGAAAUAAUCAUUAGCAUCUUGUUCCAUUUUUGAAACAGCAGGUGUUUCCUUUUGGAAGCUUCUGCUGUUUGUGCUCUGUUUAUGUGUCUAAACUUCCCCAUUGUCUGGAGCGUGCACAAUGCCUGUUAUGGAAAAUCAUUGUUCUGGUUCAGCUGAUUUUAUUUUCAGAAAUUGAUAUGGAGCCUGCUGUAUGGUCGCCACUGGGAAACUAACUGCUCCGUUCUUCAAUAGCCGUAUGGGUUAGUGACUCAACUGUGUAUUUCUGGACACACAGUAUUUCUCGGAGCGGGGAUGUCCGUUGCCUGUUUCUGCGGUUAGUAAAGAAUCACCGAGAUUUCAUUGUCAGCUCUUCCGACCAGCACUCUUAGUCACUCGGGGUGUCUCUUCCGCUCUGGGGCUGCAGGAGAGCCAUGCUGAUCUAGAUUCCCGGCCUCCAGGAUCUCCCUCACCCACGCCGCCCAAGCAGUGCCCACCGGGCGGCAAAGGCAUCUUGAGGGUGGGACAGCGUUCUCCCAGUGACCGCCUUCCUCACUCCAACAACGUUCUCCCAGUGAGCGCCUGCCCCACUCCCAACACUGAUAUUUAAUUGUCCUUUUAGUAGCUAGUAUACAUUGAGAACUUGUUUUAUCUUCCCUUCAGGGAGUGUCCGUUGCAAAAAGGGUUUGGUGGUGAGAUAUUUGACUUCUUUGAAAAAUAGAAAUCAAAUAUCUCAGUGAACAGUCUUCCCAGUGGAACUGGCUGAUAAAAAGACGCCAGUUGUCAGCUGAGCUGGAAUUUUAUUCCUAAGACAGUGGUGGCUUAUCCUGUUCAGUCUUAGCACUUGACAUGAACUAUGGGAAGGAACGGAAGAUGGCAUGCAGCUGAAAGGACGCCUGUCCUCACCGCUGGGUGAGAUGCUAGUGCCUUUGGCUGCCUGAACCCUAGUCCUUCGAAGGGUCCACAGAGCACCUUCAGUCUGUGUUAGAGCGAGAGAAAGUGGGAGUGAAUACGCAGUUCCGGUCCACACUGACGCUGGCAGAGCUGAGCGUCUGGAACCCGUGUGUCAGGGCCUGGGCGCCAUCGCCGUGGCCGAGGCUUCUGGCGGCUGAGACGGUCGAAUUGCACUUGAUGCUCCUGGCGUACAUGGCAGUCGCUGCCUCGACCAGCACGUUUGGCAGACAAGAAAAGAGAGUCCUUGAGACUUGCUGAAAUGCCUGGAGCCUCGGAGGCACGUGUUUUAUCUCAAAUCCAGUGCUUCGAAACAUCCCCUUUUCCUUGACAACCUCACCCCAGAAGAAGGAAGCCAACCCCAACCGUACUCAUGUAAACAUCUGAAUAACUAGGGAUUCUUUAGAAAAGCUGAGUACUCAAUAAAUUAAAAUACUGUCAUUUCUAUGGGGAAAUAGCAACUGGUAAGCCAACCCAUCAAGCGCCACGAGCUGUCAGCCUGCGCCUGGUCCUUCUGCCAAGCGAGUCCCACCCACCAGCCCCCAACAGGACUCUGCCUCAAGGACAGCUCAGAGAGGGAGUCUCAAGUCAGCAGCUGCUUCUCAGUCCACCUGGGGUUUGCAUCCAGGGAUCCUCCUGUUUGUCCGAAGUCCAGUGCCUGGACGCAGCCUAGGGUGGACUCUGCCUCUCGCCUUGUCGCUGUGCAGUGUAGGCGAGUGUACCUCUCAGCCUGCGCACACUCGCUGGUGAAGCAGAGAUAGGAAGCUCCUUGAGGACCUGCAAGGGCUGCAGGAGAUGCAGCGUGUGACACAAGAAGCCCAGAGCCUGGCAGGCCGCCACCGUCAGCGUGUCCCUACUGUCUUUGCACACAGAUGCACGACACUGACACUUCGGCUGCACUGUGGUCCCUCUAGGAGCCCGAUCCUAUUCCUUAUUAUUGGCCAUUGCAGAGGGACACAUCCGGGCUAGAACUACAGUAUUUGCUACGGCUGGAUUUUUCACGGCCUCCUGGUACAAUGGCUGCCUCAUCUGCGUCUUGCUGUUGGAUAACUAUGCUGCUAAGCUCGGGGAUGUAGAAGCCACUUGGCUGGUCUAAAAGGGCCUGCAUACAUCAGAUCACGUGUGGAGGGAGAGGACCCCCCCCCCACCCAUCCCCAAACCUUCCGUGUCAUCCAAAUGACUUCAAUCAAAGCCGCUAUGGGGCUGUGGUGUGUGAGGACCGCUGUUCUGCAAAACAGCUGCGUGGUGCCAGAGCAUCCCUGUUGAUGAGCCAAAUGGAAUCAAUUCUUUCCACAGCACGUUUUAAACAACUUGAGGGGGAAAAAAACGAGACUUGGAGUUUUCAGAGAACAGCGUGCACCCGUUUUCCGCCCACUUCCCCAGAGAGAAAUGCAUGAAUCACCCGCCACAGCGGGCCGAGGAUGAGAACAGGUGUUGCUGCAGAGCAAAGCACGAGUCCUCUUUUUCCUUAGAUACCGCACAAAUAAAGCGGCGUUUAUGUACGGUAACUAUGAAUAUACCCCAUCUACAGUGACCUACGCGUCGACAAUGAUGUCAUGCAAAGCACAUAAGACUCAAGAAUCUGCCAGACAUCACUCUAACAAGUUAACACUGUAAUGUGAUGUGUUAACAAUGUAACAAUCCAAAUAGCACUUUAAAAAAAAUAAAUGGUUUCCUCAAAUUGAUACAAUAAUAAGAGAAGGAAUAUUAAUAGAAGAAAUCAACAACAAUAAAUCAUGCUCUGCAGCUCAUCUUAAUGGGUGAACAAUUUAUUAUAUUUCCCAAGCAAUUUUUUUCCCAAGGAGGUCAAACAUAAUUGCACAUUUCCCAAUUUGAAAUGUACACUUUGAAUAACAGAAAAAUGACUGGUAGAUAAUUUUCUUAAAGAUUCAUGGCUAGUUCAGUGGUAAUAGAUUUCUGUUUAUAUUAACCUCAAAGAACAGGGUUCAGACUGGAGUUGGAGUGGCUGUUUCAUUGUGAGUUAUGGAUAUCAUUGUUAAAAUAUGUACUCAAAAUAACACCGAAGAUUUUAUCAAAUUUUGGCCAUAAGAUUCUGGCAGGGGAUCAGCUCAACUAGGUCUUGCAAACAUCACUCUCAGUGCAUCACAUUUUUUUUAAAAAGACCCUUGUUUAUCUUUUUAAACAUUUUCUUCAAAGUUGGGGGAAUAAUAGUUUGCUCUCAGCGUCCAUCCUAGGAUGCUGGCCUUUUCCACCAUGGAAGAUGGUGUCAGAACAAGAUCCAGAAAAAAACAAAAAGGAAACUCGCUGUUUUCUUGUUGCUUGAUGUUAUUGGACAUACAUACUAUUUACAAUACUCAGGAGUAAGACAGGGAGAGAGUGAGGAAGGACUGAGCCCCAGAAGGUAAGAUUGAACCGCGCGUACCCUAGGAGAGGGCGUGGAUUCAGAGUCACUUCACCCUUCAGCAGCCAGGGCCCAGGAGUUAGAAGGCGGGUUGGUCAGUCACCAGCAUCAGAGGUUGAGUUGUUCUUGCUCCAAGCUGAGUGCAGAGAGCAUUUGCAGGUUACCAUCUUGUGUUAACUUUGCAGAACUAAACCGAUUCCUCAUAAUUAUGUACACACACACACACACACACUCAACCGGGGUGCAUCUGAAGCAUUUGGGAAAAAGCACUUAUGUUUUUAUUUGAUAGAUGUUCAUAUGCUGCAGUGUAAUUAUGUUUUUGAGGACUGAAUUUGUAGGGUUAUAUCAAGCCAAACAUAGACUUUUUCUCCUUUUGGCUUUUUAGAUUGUAUGGAGUUUUAAUAGACAUCAUCAACCAGAAGUCCAUGGGGGAAAACAAUUGGGGAUUAUUUUUUUCAAACUACAUCACAUUCAAACUAGCAUAUGUGGAUUAUUAGUCAGCUAUUAAAAAAAAAAGUGAAAUGAUGCUAUUUGUCGCAACAUAGAUGGACCUACAGAUUAUCAUACUAAGUGGAGUAAAUCACAAAUAUCAUGAUAUCACUUAUAUAUGGAAUCUUUAAAAAAAAAAGAGACACAAAUGAACUUAUUCCCAAAACAGAGACUCAGAGACACAGAAAGAAAACUUAUGGUCACCAAAGAGGAAAGGAGGUGAGGGGGAGAUAAAUUAGGAAGUUAGGAUGGACAUAUGCACACUAUGUAUAAACUAGAUAACCAGCAAGGUCAUCCUGUGCAGCACAGGGAACUAUACUCAAUAUUCUGCAAUAACCUAUAAGGGAAAAGAGUGAAGAACACGCAUACACAGCGCAUCGUCCAUUCACCUGUCGGCGGGCAUCCAGGCUGCUCCCCUGUCCCGAUACUGUCAACAGGACUGCAGUGAACCUGAGGGGCGUGUGUCUUUUCAAUUUUUGGUUUUCCCCAGAUUCAGGCACAGGAGCGGGACGGCAGGCUCAUGUACCAUAAACAGUCAUUAGCCUCCUUAAUGGUCAAGAACUGAAGCACUCUGAGUCUUGAGAACUGUAGAUUAAGCUCAUCCAUCAGGAGAAACAGCAAUGCCUUGGCAGUUCCUCGAUACCUGGACAGCUCCUGAAAUGUGUGGGGAAACAGUGCCCCUCGAGGGAAGCCGGUGCUUGGCCAAACCUGCCAGCUGUCCACCGGCAGUCCCUCACUGGGCUCAGGGUGACCCUGAGCCUGCCUGUCGGUGCCUCUGAUCUGGAGAGGAACUUGGGGCCAACUGCAGCCCAGAUGGGAGUCCUGCACCUGUUUCUGCAUGUAGACAACUUCCGGGAUUUCAGUUCAGUGCUUCCUAAACACCCCAGUGCAUGAGACUCAGAGGCAACUGAUGGGGCCAAAUAAGUAGCCUUGCGGUGGUGAUGUCAUGAAGUCCCUUUUUAGGCAUGGUUCUGCGGCUUCCUCCUCCCCAGCCCCGCCUUUGAAACCGGAGCACACUCUGAUAUCUGCAACCCCUAAACCUGCUCCUUGCUUUGCCCCAGACUCGGGUCAGGACUGGCUGAAGUCUGUUAAAGAAGCAAUGCUUCAGAGCGCUGAUGGUGUGUUUUCCCUUCUGCUGGCUCCUACCUGCAAUUAAAACUUGUGUGCCUUGGAUGUUUUGAAAGCUUCCAUGUAGAGGGCAUGACCAAAAAUAGACUUUCGGGGUUAUCCCUAAAUGAUUCUUCUGUUAGGAAAGAGCUUCACAGGAAAACACCAAACACGGUCAAGGGGAGAAGACAGGGGCUGGGCCUGUCUAAGCUUGAUUGGAAUAGAAAUCCUCGGAUGUACCCCAGUAGCCAAACUCACAGGCUAGGGAAGCCUGAUAUGCAGUGUGAAAGCUCAGAGCAGGGUUCAGCCACAGGUGGGAGCCCAGACCCUCCUGUGAGCAGCCCACCGCCAGGGACCCUGGGCGCGGAGACGGGGGCGGAGCUCUUGAACUUUCCUGGCAUCCUGAGUGCGGGGCGGGGCGCUGCUCCAGACACUACUUGAAAAGGGAAGGUUCUGGGACUCCUGGCAGCGGGGCCUCUCCUCCGCCCGAAAUCCAGGGUUUAUUUUUACUUGUUGAAUGAGAAGGAGAAGGAGCCCUGUGCUCCGUCCUGCUCCGCGCCGCGGCCACAUUUUUAGACCACAGAGCAAAUGAAUGUUGUCGGAAGGAAUGUGUUUAUGGAGGAGGCAGUCUUUACCCAUUGGGAAGCUGCGUUUUGACUUUAAACAUGGCAUGAAGCCCCUGCGGGGUGAAUGAGCGAAAUGCCCCUCCAGUAAAGGAGGGUUUGAUUGGUUCGUUUAUUGCAGUUUUCUUGGCGAGCCGCACAGAGCCUGCUCUGACGUCAGGGCGAGCGUGAUAAACCGAGUCCCGAUCGCGCAGCUCGCACCAAAGGCCUGGGCUCCACCAGCGUCUGUCAGCCGGCCGCCCUGGACCGCCCGUCCUCCUGCAGCCCGGGGUGCAGCGGCUCUCAGCCUCACCUUCGCAGGGGCUCCCUUCCAGCGGCCCCGUAACCCCGCCCCUCCCGCCCCCGCCCACAUCUCUCACCUCGCCCCAUCUUUGAGACGCAGACCCCCGGUCCACUCCCCCAAGUCUGCCGUCCCCAGCCCGGUCACAGCAUCCCGGGAGACCAGCGUCUUCCCGAGGCCUGGUCCAGGCGGUGCCUGAGGCCGUCGGCUGGGGGAGCCGGAGGGGAACCGGCUUCAGGCAGAAAGAACAGAGCUGAAUGCCCUCUGCUCUCCAGGUUCAGGUGAGAGUGUGUCGCCUCUGCGUUCCGUGCACCAGCGCGUGCUCUCGGGGACGUGUCACAGCCUUAAAGCACCACGCAUCGUCGGCGUGUGUCCCAGCACGCCCUUGUGCACCCGUGCAGGUGCUUGCACUCAUCCCGAUUUGCAUGUACACCGCUGGGGGUGACUCCACCCUUCCUGACCGACUAAGAAUCUCAGCGGUAGACGGUGACCGUCAGGCCCACGUCCCGGCCACCGAUGUGGGCAUCGUCUCCCUGAGCCUGGACGCGCACCGCACGUCUGUCCAAGGUCGGCGAUAGAAGUAGCCUGGGCUCCAGACUCUUCUCUGCCACACAGACAUCUCCAAGGGCGAGGUGGGGGCUCUCUGAGAUUUCAACUCCCAGAGUGAAGCCGCCCCAAGCAUGUGUCUCUGCCCUGGGUCCUCCUUCAUGUCCCGAACCUUCUGUCCUGCUGAGGGAGGGCGGCGGGGUCACAGGGUGCUGCUUUUCCCCAAACGUUUCUAACGCAAAAUCUUUUCAAUACCUCACUUCUUAUUUGACUCAGGCCCUUCUCAAAAAAAAAAAAAGAAAGAAAAAAAUCCAUGUUCAGUAAGCACAUAUUAGUCAACCAUACCAUGUACUCGGUCAAACCAACUCAAUGUUAUUAAAUGCCUACUUAACGUGGCCUGGGGUGAUUUUGGGAGAAAAAAAAAAUGGGAAGACUGUUACAGUCCCAUUCAUUCAUUCACAGAGUGCGUAUUGAGUGUGUGCUAGGAGCCAGGCAGGUGUUCAAUGCGAGGUGCUGAUGCCCCUAAGAGCCCCCUGCCCACCAGAGACCCGCCCCCUCCCCACCGGAGAUCUGCAGUCCGCUUGAGCUUGGGGCCAACCCCAGGAAGACGCCCAUGGAGUCUCCACAGGUUCCUCAAGUCACUGAUGACCCGGCACCAGAAGUCUUUGCCCGUAGAGUCAGAAAGGACCCCGGCACCUUCUAACCGGAUUCCCUGGGUGAGACCACAGAGAAGACGUGUUCCAGGCAACCUCAGGUCAUGGGUGACAGGCAGUCUCACACCCACAAACUGACGCCCUGGUAAAUCACACUGCAGAACCAUGUGUUAAGUUCAUGUUUAAACUCAGCAGCAUUCACUCCAUAGAGUGGUUGGGAGCCAUUCUUUAGGGAUCGGAGAGCCCGUUCUCAUGCCCUUUGACUCCGCCGAUGUUAAUUCCAAACGACACAUUCUCAGGAUGCUUUUGCAGAGGAAUCCUUUAUGUCAGGGCUGUGCUGGGCGAGGCCUGAGAACCCACAGGGCGGCCCGUGGCAAACCUUGACUCAGUAAAUCCCCCACGUUCAAGGACUGGUUGAAGAUCCCCGUUCUCAUGUGAUCCUGAACAGUUGGAAUCAUUACCAAGUUGGAAUUAAACUCUUGUUGUGUUAUAUUGAAAUCUGUCUUCUUCGUGGCUUCCCAUAUAUCUAGUGGGAGCCACUUCUUUGGUAUCUGACGGUAUCUUUUCAUACUGUUUAUGCAGUUAUUUGGGUCACAAGUGAAUUAUGAAUUCACUAGUUUCUAAGAAACUGUGGGGUCAAGACUUCUUUUUAUGGUACUUCCUCAUUCAUACCAAAAAAAAAAAAAAAUGUGUCCUUUUUUUAUUCGUGCGUUGGGGGUUUUGCUGUUUUUGCUUGGAGGAACAUUGCUCCCAGAAUAAGGGCCUCCAUGGUGGCUCAGAUGGUAAAAAAAGAAUCGGCCCGCAGUGCGGGGGACCCAGGUUCGCUCUCUGGGUCAGAAGAGCCCCUGGAGAAGGGCACAGCUGUGGACUCUUGCCUGGAGAAUCCCAGGGACAGAGGAGCCUGGUGGGCUUCCAGAAUGCUGGUGCGGAUGCACUGAGCUUCAAAACGUGUCACACACGUGCGCUCAGGAGAGAGCUGUAAUAUCUACGGGCCCCCCAGACCCCCUCCUCACACUGAGCAGGGGCGCGACGUUGCCAAAGAACCAGAAGCAUCUGUUUCCAACGUAGUGAAACAGGGGCAGUGGGAAAACCUGACGUCACCUCGUCACGCCGAGGUCUGCUCCAGCUGCUGUUUGCCGACACAGAGCAGAGUGGUGAUACUGAGGUGCGGGCGAGGAGAAAGACUUUCCAGAGAACUGAGUGGCUCGUGGAGAAAGAAUUGACUUUACGUAUUAGCAGCUUGGUGGCCUUGAGGAAAUCCCUCAGCUCUGCGGGUCUCGGGCUUUUGUUCUGCGGGUGGAGUGCUGGGGAGGGCAUAGGUGUGCCAGGGAGACGAGGUGACCUCAGGAGUGCAGGGGGGCGGCCUCCCCCAUCUCGUCUGUUGCAGGCGUGGCUCAGUGGUCCCCUCUGGCCCGCUGUAGGAGUCUCCUUUGCUCUCCUCUUUAUUUACCUAGAAUUUCUUAGUCCCCCUUAGAUACCCCAUAAGGUAUCUCUUACAUUGUGAGCACCCUUGCAUGCAUUUUUUUUUCUGGAACCUUCUCUGCUUUAGUCCCCACAGAUUCCAUACCCUCCCAGGAUGAUUUUGGAAGAGAAUGCAAACAUCUGAGUUUUCAACAGUCCACAGCAGGAGGCAAAGAACUCCAGAUUUGAGAUUACAGGAAAAAAAAAGAAGAGGUUAAAAUCAAUACUGAAAGUCAAGGUGGAACUUUGUGAGAAUUUAAGAGUGAACAGAGAAUGAGCCAGGAAACGAGUCAGCCAGCAGCUCCUCAGAGGGUGAGGACAGAAAGCGAAUUGGAAGAGCCCAGGUAGUUCCUUUAUUCUAGUUAUUCCAAAGGGAUUUGAGCAAACUCAAAAAAGGACACCGCGGUGGAAAGAUCAAUGUGUCUGGGUUAUCUACCUCCCAGGUGUGGGGGGAGUAGGUCUGGAGGGGCUCUGCGAGGCCUCCUCCUCCUGCAUGUGCUCAGGAUGCAAAAAAAUGCCUGUGAAUUUCCAGCCAGACGUGGACUGAGCUGCAGAUGGCCCUGCCCCGUGCAGAAAAAGCCCAUAUUAGCACAUGGCCAUCUCAUUCCUGUUUCCUCGUGGGAAGCCUGAGAAUCUCCCUUCCCCUCUUAUCUCAUUGUGGUCAAGAAUAAUAACUGGAAACUUCCUGCACUGGAAACCAUCUGGCCCUUGUGUGAUUCCCUCCAUGCUUCCUCCUCUUUAGCUAUAAAUUAAGUCCUGGAAUAGAGAAGGAGGGGGAGACAGUUUGCACCAAGAAGGUGACACAGGGGAAGAGCUGUGUAGUCUAGGAGUCCAGGAGGGGUCAACAAGGAUAAACAGCAUGGGGUGUCACCCUCUUAUACAGUGAGAAACGGAGGCUUUCUUUUAGCCGGAAGAGGAAUUCCACAGUCCUGGAUAACUGGGAGAUGUUGGCACACCCACCCUGCUCUUCUCGUCUGGGAAGAUGAACCCAUGGUGAAUAAGGUUAAUCCUGUGUGAUUCUCUUUUGUGAUGUAAAAAUCAAGCUCUUUAUUUCCCUAACAAGCUCAUGUUAAAGACUCUUGCAGAGAGAAGUAGAAUUAAAAUAGCAAACGGAACUUUCACCAGCUUAGUUACCAAUGCUUCAUGCCUCUCCCAUCCAAGAAUAAUUUCAAAAGCACAGCGUUUUUAAAUGGCAAUAUUUGGAUGUGGAAAUGAUGUCAGGGUUACUGCUUUAUGACUGUAAUCCAGUUUGAUGUAAGCCUUAUGUGAAGUUGAAAUGGUCUUCCUGUUGAAAUGUAUUUCAGUUUUCUGGGAAGUCAAGUUUUGAGUGCUGGCUUUUAAUUCCUCAGUUUUCAGCCAUACUUUGUGCUGUAAUACAAACAAGUUCAAGAGAAUAUCUCCAUAAAAAACAAACAUUUAACAGUGAGUGUCGAUUGCAGGACCCAGAUACAAUCAAAGUCAGAAAAUGUUUUCCAAAAACACGAUGGAGGCACAUUACAUGGGUCAACCCCUAACCUCCCCCCGGGGCCACAGCUUAGCAUCACAGAUAAGGUCGUGGUGGUUCCCACACAAGCCUGUGGUCCCAGAGUCCAGAUGGACCUGCCCUAGACCCCACAGGGGAGCCCUGCACUUGAAGACCUCCCGGCAGGAAGGUCUGUGAAAUCAAAUCGUUUCAUUUUCUGGAGAACAUGCUUCCAGGACUCCUUGGUUCCCUUUGAGCAAGAUGUCAGAACACUCAUGACCCUUUUCUUUUUAAAUUACUGACAAUCCCCAGAAGAUAAGGACUGGACAUCUCCGCGAUCGUCUAAAAUGAAGUCAUUCAGAGUUUUGUCAAGAGAGGACGAGGUUGACCCUGUUAUCUUGUGAUGAUAAAAAUUAAAAGUGGUUUCCAAUCCCUAAGAAUAGAAUGGAAUCAACGUCAAUAUUUAAAGAGCUGCAAGCAUCUGUCUUCCAUCAUACUUUUAAAUUGCUGAGUGCGUCCACUUGAAUCACAGAGAGAGUUUAGAGGGAGGUCUAGGGAGUGUGCAAUGUCCUGGGAUUUUAUUCUGUCUUUCCAGCCAGAGCAUCGACUCUCACAAGCCCCCAAGCCUGCUCUCUCGUCUGUGAGCUGGGUUCCGAGGACGUGACUAAUACAGGCUUAUUCACAGCCUUGCCAUCCUUGGUCAUAGCGCCGCUCAGGGCCCCAGCGGGCUGCCAGGCCUGCAGUGCCGCCCUGUUAAUAUUCCGUGACAGUCGGAGGCUUUUUGGAAAAGCUCCUCUGGCCCACUGUUUAUACGCCCCCAUCGAGAUUUGUCUGAAGAUAAUUUUACAGUCAGUUUGCUUGCAAAUGCACCUCCAGCAUCGUGGGCUCCUACCUACAGAGCUUUUGCCAAAGACCGCUCAGACAGGGGCCAGCCUGAGCAGCCCCCAAACGAAGGCGCCCUCCUGGUUCCGUGUCCCCGUGCCCCGAGCGAGGCGGCAGGGCAAAAUUCAUGGGCUUGACAAGGGGAGGAAUCGUGCAAGGAAAUCUUCCUAAUGUCGUAUCCCCACUUAGUGAUGGAUACAUGUAUUUAGAUUAAUAAGUUGUCGAACUUUUUUUUAAAGAACGUUGUGGGUGGCAUAUUUCACAACCUUGGAAAAGCAGACAUUUAAGGAAUCAAAACCAGAGGCCAGAAGCAUUGGCUGUGAAUGGGGCUGCCACUUACAGAGUAACGUGGCCUCGGGAAUGAUGGAUCACAGGAACUGAGGCAGAAAGCGAAAGAAAUAAUUAUACCAGCUCCAGGAGGCUGAAUGGUCCUUUGUGGCUGUAAAGGAGAGUGAGUGGGUGGGCGUGGGGUGGGGCAAAGAACCAGCCCGGUGCUGGGGGCUGCGGGGGUGGGGGUGGGGGACACCGAACACAGUUUCUGUCGUGUGUUUAUAUCUGCAGACUCAUUUAUGCUGUUUGGAAUCCUGUGAGAAGGUUCUCUAAAGUUGCAUUUUAACAGCCACCUAAUUUGAAAAGAUAGUCUAGCAUUUGCAGCCAUGUCAGACCCAAGAAAGAAGCUGUCCACCUGGGACUGUUCACAAAUCGCUGCAGGCUCUCUCAACGAUAACCUCGCCCUGCCACUGAGCGUUUUGAGGGCUUUGAUGUUAUUUUUAGAGAAGCACAAAAAUCUGAAUUAAAAAAAUCAGAUUCCUUUUUCUCUUGCCUCUGCUUCCUCUUCUUUUUCUCACCCCCCUCUCCUUCUUGGCUGUUUCCACUGCUGUUUCUUUUGCUAUUUUUACAUGCAGAUGGGAGGGGGUAUGCCCACAGUGUGAAAUAUGUUUAUUUACAUGCAACUAAAAAUAAGGAAACACAUAUCGGUCAUGAGGAACACAGUCCCUUGACAUAACAGCAGGAAAUACAAUCAGCGAAAGAUCAGAGAUACAAGUUUAGAGGCAUCCUUGCCUUUGAAAUUAGAAAAGCACCGUGGACUUGAGAGGGUAAAUGUCCGGCCCAAAUGCAGGUCAGAGUUGAACAUCAUCUAGUGAGCGGUUGCAGGACCACCAACCAAAUGAAUUUAGAUUGAUUUUUUAAAAACAUCCCUUUAGGGCCAAAUCCAUUUAAAAAAAAAAAAAACAAAACUCUUUUUUUCUUAAUUGUCUAACUGUAUUCCUUUUGGCUCAAUGAGACCAUUUUAUCAAAAGGGCUUAAGUACAGCUGCCAGUUAGUUGUAAGAGUUUUCCUCUUUGGCAGUAGAAUCCAGAGGAUGCGAGCAUCGUGGGUAGCUGAUGGAUAAUCUGAUGGGUGUUUGAGGAGCUGUGGAAGGAAGGGAAGCGCACUGAUGGAGGAGCCAGUGAACACUGCCCGCCCCAGGUACCACUGGGCUCUGGAGUCAUCCCGGAAGCCCUCAGGCCAGAGAGGGUGACUGAGGUCACCCACCUGCCCAGAGUCACACAGAGCGGAAACAGCAGAGUAAGAUAAAGGGUCUCCCGGCAAGCCCUCUACAAGGCUGGAAACAUAGCUGAGAAGCUCCCCCUCACUGAACACCCAGAGAACCUGCCACACCUUAUAUAUCAAUAAUGCUGGUAUUUGGGGCACAAUGGAACCAUCUCACGAUGGAUCCCAAGGAUCACAAUGGAUCCUUACUUGGUCUGGGAAUGAAGGAAGAGUCUAGGGUCUACCCAGGAGGGGUUUUAAACUGUUCUCUGAGUCCGGCCGACCCCAGACCUUGAGUCUUGCAUGUCUGACCCAUUUUACCAGUUUUCCUUCCCACAAAUGGACAGGGAGCAAGUGCGGGAGCAGCCUGGUCUUGUGAAACCUCUCAUUCUCCAGAUGCAUCUCAUUCCCCGGGUGACGCAAUCCACUUUUGUGAAAGAGACAAAAAUAUUGGAACUUUUCAAGAACGGGCUAAAAUUUGGGCAGAUUUUUCUGUGAAAAUGCUUUAACAUGAAGAUUCCCACACAGCUCUUCUAAUUUACUUUAAUCUGGUUUUAUUUGCAAUCUGUGGUCUUCCUGGCAGGAAUCUGCGAGGCCACCUGCUCCUCUCAGAGGGAAAAAAUAUUCUGUUGCAAGGCUGAAAGAAGGCGGGAUGUAGUGAGGUUUUCUGUGGUCAUGGCAUCCGUAGCUUGAUAAUUGCACAAGCUCCUUCUGUCAGAUGCUUGAUUAAAAUUCUUGACAGCUUUGGUAAUGGCCAAAGGUUAAGAGAAUCCAAUGUUCUUGACUUGGUUCCAUACUCGUAAGGUAUCCAGUAACCAAGUGUAGUAAUCAGACAAACUCUCCCAAACACGCAGCCAGCUGUAUUUCUAGACUUUGUUGAGGGUGGUGCGCUGGCUUGUCCUGAAGCCUGAUCACCAGCCAGUGGGAUAGUAGCUCCCGUUUUCAUUCAUUCAUGUGGGGCACAUUAUGUUACAUACACCUAAUCCUUCCUAAAUCCUUUGGAGACCGAUUUGUACAAGUAAUUAAAGUGGGAGAGUUCCUCAGCAGAUGAGAAGCAAGGAAGAUGUUAGAUGUUUUCUGAACACUAAUUCACUUCUUGGCUCUUGAAACUUUGGGGAAAUGAAAACUUUGAUCCCUCCCCUGCCCCGACCAAUAUCAUAUAAGCUAGAACUCGGAGAGAAGUCCAAGGUCAACGCUCAUUAACUCAAAAACUGGUGAAGACAAGAACUGCAGAAAGAAAAGUACCAUUGCCCGGGCAUUCAAAUGCGUCCUCAAGAUUUCAAUUAGCAGAAAAUCCCAAUGUCGCACCUAUGCUUCACCAACUUGAUGUCUGGGUCCUUGCUUGUGAUCCUCAUGUAUCAUUGUUUAUAUAAAAACACACAUUAAAAAAAAAAACAGAAUGAUUAUCAGUAUGACUCUUAAAUAAUUUUCCAAA